UUAUGUUUCUAAGAUUAUUAUUAUUUACAGGUAACUAGUAAUCUUGCAGCAUAAGAUGUACUCACAGAUUUGAGCUGUAGGGACAUGCUGGCUUAGGAGUAGUCAACUCAGAAGACCUUCGCUAGAGGCAGUCGCCAUAUGUUAUGCUGGUGUACCAUGUACAACACAUCACACCAUCACAGUUCAGGGGACACAGUGCUCUAGCUGGAGGACUACUUGUAUUAAGAAAUAUCUCUGAAAUUCCCACUUCUGAAUGUCAUAGUAACCCAGAAACCCUGACCAGCAUUUGAAGAAAAUAUAGGAGAGUGCCACCUCACCCCAUGACAUGUGCAUAUAUCUGCACUACUUUACAGAUAAGUACCUCCCUACCACAUGACAUGCUAGCACCUCCCUACCAAAUGACAUGCUAGUACCUACCCACCAUAUGACAUGCUAGUACCUCUCACACCAUAUGACAUGCUAGUACCUCUCCCACCAUAUGACAUGCAAGUACCUCCCCACAUGACAUACUAGUACCUCCCCACCACAGGACAUGCUAGUACCUCCUGCACCACAUGACAAGUAUACUCAUCCUCACCAAGUGACAGGCAAGUACAUCCAAGUUCUAUACUAAAGGAAGGUAACCAGCUAAUGACUCUACUUUAUUUGAAAUUUAUUAAAGUGAUCAUUGAGAGCAGAUAAUAAACUUUAAAUAUAAAAAUAAUAAUAACUGUUUCCUCAGACUUGAACUAAAAAUCUUAAUGUUAGACAAAAGGAGUUCAUAAGGAAAACAAAAGACUUACUGUUAUUCUUUGUUCUUAAUUAUAAAUGUACUCUAUAUUGGUAGCACAUGUGAGUGAGGUAAAAGUGGGAGUAUUGGAGUUUUGAGAUUAAACAAUCAUCAUUAAUAAUUCAUAUGAAAGUUCUUAUAUUAGAAGAGCAGCCACAACAGUGUUCAUCGUGUGUUUAAUUAACAUGGAAAAUCAUACAGACAUGGAAAAUAACACAGAAGAGAAACUACAUCACUGUCCGGAAUGUCUGAAAGACUUUGAAAAAGAGUCUUCUCUUGUAAUGCAUCUGAAGAAUCAUAAAAAAGAGAAGAUACACCAGUGUUCAGUUUGUUUCAAAAACUUUACAACAAAAUAUAAGUUAGAAAGGCAUACAAAGGUUCAUACGGGUGAGAAGCCAUACAUAUGUGUAGUGUGUCUAAAAGUGUGUUCAGAAAAAUCAAACUUACUUAGUCAUUUAAGAAUUCAUACAGGUGAAAAACCACACAAAUGUUCAGUGUGUCCAAAAGCCUUUUCAAGAAAGUCUGAUCUAAUUAUACAUACUAGAAUUCACACAGGGGAAAAACCAUAUCAUUGUCCAGUGUGUGAAAAAGAAUUUUCAGGAAAAACUAACCUAACUACACACAUGAAAACUCAUACACAAGAGAAAAAUUAUCAAUGUUUGCAAUGUCUAAAAUUGUUUUCACAAAAAGUUUCCCUUGUAACACACAUGAGAAUCCAUACUGGAGAGAAACCCCAUCAUUGUUUUGAAUGUUUUAAAGAUUUUACACGUAAGUCUGAUUUAGUGAGGCACAUGAGAGUUCAUACAGGUGAGAAACCCUAUCAGUGUUCAAAAUGUGUGAAAAUGUUUUCACAGAAAUCACAUCUGGUAAAGCAUUUAAUGGCUCAUAAAAAAGAAACCAUUUAAAGUUCAUAAUUAACAAAAAAAAAAAAAAAGGGCACAAUACUGUGACUGGAACGAUACACAAAUAACCCGCACAUAAAAGAGAGAAGCUUACGACAACGUUUCAGUCCGACUUGGACCAUAUACAGUGUGACUUUGUAAAUGGUCCAAGUCGGACCGAAACGUCGUCGUAAGCUUCUCUCUUUUAUGUGCGGGUUAUUUUUGUAUAAAGUUCAUAAUAUCUAAAGCAGUUUACGAAAAUCUGGACUUGUUUACUGUGUGAGAGUUCAUGCAAUAGAAAAGCCAUACUAGUAGGUGUAGAAGACUUGAGUAAAUUCUAGUAGGGUAUGAGGGCUCAUACGUGAGCAUAAACAUACCAAGUAAGACAUUUGACAGGUCAUAAGAGCAACAAACCAUUCAAUAUGUUUGACAUUCUGGUAUAGUGCAUAAAGGUGAGAAGAAAUCUUAUUUCCAUAAUUUGAAUAAAUUCCAUUUAUGCCAAAACUAGCUGAAUACAUCAUUGUGGACAGUCUGCCAUGUUGCUUAGACUUUUCAUGCCAUGAGAGAGUUCAUCCAGUUGCUAACCUCAUGGCAAUUCCAGGGAUCAUUUUUCCUUUCUGACUAGUCCCAGACCAGGUCACCUAGUGGAUGGCUUGAUUGACUAGAAUGUUGGUGCUAGUGCUACAUAGGCACAACAGCCCGACUGAUCAGGAACUAGCUUAAGGAACUUAUCCAAGUCCCUCUUGAAGACAGCUAGGGGUGUGUUGGUAAUUUCCCUUGUAUACAAAUUGUAGGUGUUGACAAGUCUUGGUCUUGUUACGCUUAUCUCUCAGUGUACUGAUUGCACCCCUGCUUUUAAUUUGGAGGUAUUUUAACCAUCUGCCAAACUUCUUUUAUUUGUAGGAAAUAAUUUAGUGUGCAGAUUUGGGACCAAUCCCUCCAGAAUUUUCCAUGUGUAAAUCAUGAUGUGUCUUUCUUAACUUUGUUCCAGAGAGUACAUAUAAAUGGACUAAAGGCAUUUCUAGUAAUUUAGAUGCUUGAUAAUUUUUACAGACGGUAACUGUUCUCUGUUCAUUCCCAGGUCUGCAAUUUUGCCUACCUUAAAAAAGCACUGUUAGUGUGCAGCAGUAUUCUCAUCUGGAGGACACAAAUGACUUAGAGAAUCAUGAUUGGCUUAACAUCUCUUUGUUUUGAAGGUUCUAGCUAUUCAGCCUAUCAGUUUCCUUGCAUUUGUAAUAAAAACUGCUGUGAUCCUUUAAUGUUCAAUCUUUGACAUUAUUGCUUGUAAGGUCCUCACAUCCCUGGUUUGAAUCUGUUUUAUACUCCAUUCCAGUUAUUAAUUCUUCAGUUUCUUUUGUAGCAGAGCAACCGAAAUUGAUCAUCUUUGAACAUCAUAUUGUUUUCUGUGGCCCACUGGAAGACCUGCUUGAUGCCAGCUUGAAGACUGUGUGUGUCUUCAGUGGCUCUCACUGAUUUAUAAAUUUUAAUAUAGUCUACAAUGAUGAGUCAGUGCUAUGACUUACGUCUCUGUCAAUAUCAGAUAUGAGAAUGAGAAAGGUGAAUUGGAGCAAGUAUUGCCUUGAGGAACAGAGCUUUUCGUACUUUAUUGACUGUUUCUUUCUACAUCUCAUUUGAUAGAAAAUUUAAAAUUCAUCAUUCUGCUUUAACAGUUAUUCUUUUUGCACACAUUUUAUGUGCUAUUAUUAUACCAUAAUCACCCAUGACAGGUUUUGCAGGGCCUGUGUAUACUGCAUUUGCUUUUUGUUUGUCUUCUAGUGCCUCCAGGGCAUAUCAUGAUGGUCCAGUAAUUGUGAGAGCCAGGAGUGACCUCCUCUAAAUCCAUGCUGCCCUGGGUUAUGCAGUUGUUGUGAUUCCAUACGUUUAACAGUUUUCCUUCUUAAAAAUCUUUCAAAGGCUUCGAUGUGGGACAUUGGUGUCAUUGGUCAGUAGUUGUUUGCACUUUGUGGAGUGGGAUAGUGUCAGUGGCUUUUAAUAACUGUGGGAUUACCCUUUUCCAAACUGUCUCAAUAGGAUAUAAAAUUUAAGCUUAAUAGUUUUUUUUUUUUAAUUUGAGCCUGGGUCUUAGGCAGAAUACAUGGGCGUUCUAUCAUUGUCUUUCCCCAAGAUAAUUGGGUUAGGAUUAUGUCAGAAAUUUUUGAGAUUUGGAAGAUUUGUUAUUAGGCAUCUUUUUUUUCAUCUGUCUCUUCUGGACAGUGUAUGAUGCAUUAAGUUUUGUCUCAAGAUUUUCCAUUUCUAAUUAGUAUUUUAUUUUACUCUUGAGAGAGUGUGAGAGCCCUGAGAAGUUUAGUGAUUUUUCAUGUAGUGGCUGGAGUGAAAUGUCUAACUUAGCACUCCUACUGGCACUACCCAUGUAUACUUAAUAUUCAUAUUUUAUAACAUAAAUGAUGUAAGAUGUGGGUAAUAUUUUUUCAAUUCAGGGACAGUUUUUAUACCAUAAGUUGUUUUUCUACAUUCAGUAGCACAUACUAUGUGUACGAAUGGUAUAUAAUACCGACAAGAUGAUGAGAUUAAGACACAUGUGCAACAUCUGGGUAUCUUUAUUGUAGACGUUUCGCCAUCCAGUGGCUUUAUCAAUACAAAUUCUAGGACAUAACUUGAAGACAGUAGAACUAUGUACAGAAGAUGAGGUAAUCAGUCCCUCAACCUAGGAGUAGGUGCGAAGAGCACCAUAGUCGUGGAGAUUCUGAAGCAGAAGAAAGGAUCCUGGCGCUUAUAUAGUAACGUCAGGUGUAGCAGACGAGGGCAUAUUCACUGGUAGGUGGGAUUCCCCAGUGGAAGUAGGUCCUUCCCAAAGAGAUGGGUUAGUUGUAGUAGUAGUUGUCGUAGUCGUGAAGGUUAUGUACAUGUCCUCAGAAUUAAGAUUCCAUGAUGUUGCAGUGUCUGACAAGUUGUGUACGAAUGGUAUAUAAUACCGACAAGAUGAUGAGAUUAAGACACAUGUGCAACAUCUGGGUAUCUUUAUUGUAGACGUUUCGCCAUCCAGUGGCUUUAUCAAUACAAAUUCUAGGACAUAACUUGAAGACAGUAGAACUAUGUACAGAAGAUGCGGUAAUCAGUCCCUCAACCUAGGAGUAGGUGCGAAGAGCACCAUAGUCGUGGAGAUUCUGAAGCAGAAGAAAGGAUCCUGGCGCUUAUAUAGUAACGUCAGGUGUAGCAGACGAGGGCAUAUUCACUGGUAGGUGGGAUUUCCCAGUGGAAGUAGGUCCUUCCCAAAGAGAUGGGUUAGUUGUAGUAGUAGUUGUCGUAGUCGUGAAGGUUAUGUACAUGUCCUCAGAAUUAUAUACCAUUCGUACACAACUUGUCAGACACUGCAACAUCAUGGAAUCUUAAUUCUGAGGACAUGUACAUAACCUUCACGACUACGACAACUACUACUACAACUAACCCAUCUCUUUGGGAAAGACCUACUUCCACUGGGGAAUCCCGCCUACCAGUGAAUAUGCCCUCGUCUGCUACACCUGACGUUACUAUAUAAGCGCCAGGAUCCUUUCUUCUGCUUCAGAAUCUCCACGACUAUGGUGCUCUUCGCACCUACUCCUAGGUUGAGGGACUGAUUACCUCAUCUUCUGUACAUAGUUCUACUGUCUUCAAGUUAUGUCCUAGAAUUUGUAUUGAUAAAGCCACUGGAUGGCGAAAUGUCUACAAUAAAGAUACCCAGAUGUUGCACAUGUGUCUUAAUCUCAUCAGCACAUACUAUGUUGAUAAACUUAAUUAUGUAGUUUUUAUGUUUUGUUGCACAUUGUAUGUAUCAUGUAUUUGCACCAUCAGCAUGAAUGGGAUACUGAAGGCAGCAGAAAUGGUACAAAUCAGUUUGGUUUAAAUUUUCAAAGUAGUCAGACAUAUAGAUAAGUUGUCCCAUGUAGUGGCAGUUUAUUAGUGUUAAGUGAUAUUACAUACAGUAAGCCAUUUCCUCUCAUUCAUCUAGCUACUGCAUUUCUAUAACUUCCUGAUUCAUAUUUUGUGCUUAAUACCAUUGUCUGCCAUAAAUGUCUUGCUUUAGCACCAGCGCAACUGAGAUAUUUCUCCUCCCAUGCACCUUUGAAGUCCUUUGUUUUAUGGUAGACCUAGCAUUACUCCGUGGUGAAGUAACUAACACCACCCUCACUCCAUCGUGGAUACAUAACCUGCUGUUGUGUAAAGAAGAUACUUAUGUACCACUCAGAGCAGGUAUUAAAGGAAAUGUUGUGCUGUGAGUGACUUCAUCAGUCCUAAUAGAGAGAGAUGACUGAGAGUAAAUAUAGUUGGGAGUCAGGUGCCAAUUUGUGAGAGGGUGGUAGUAGUAGUAGCACAGCAGUGGUGAGAUGGUUAGGACUUAAGAUGGGCCUGUCAACCUGGGCCAGUAGUCCUGCUUAUGUACUUCUCUGUACAAAAUAUUUGUCUAAGUAUCAUGUUAACAACAGUCUCCAAAAUGGGCAAUAUUCUGUUGAUCAACAGUUUGGAUAUGGUGUAACUGCAGGGCUUCUGUUGGAUUGUAUUACUGGCAGCAGUUACAGCAGUCUUUAUAUGCAUUUGUCUUCGUGUAUCUUCCUCCUGGAUGACUAUCCUUGCUUCAUUGAACUUCACUAGGUAUUUAAAAUUGUCUCUGUUGCAUUUAUAGUUUCCUCUUAGUUGCAGGCAUUCUAGUGCUCAUGGAUCCUAAUCUCCAGGGAUCUAGUAGUUUUCCCUACAUUGUGUUCCACCCCUACAUGGUACUAUGUAUACUCUUGUGUUUGUGGUAGUCAGUUUUGUGUUAUUGCAUCAGGUUUUUAAUGGUAGCAGAAGACUUGAUGUCUAUUUUAACACAUUUUAAGUACAAAAACAAUGUAACUGGAUGAGUGUUACCCGUAAUGAGAAUGCAUGUUGCAUGUUUCCUGCAAUCAUGCAUGAAGUGUAGAUGGAAAUGUAGCGAGAUGAAUAAAUGUGUGAUGCAUGUGUACUCAUUCUGAAGGAACUGUGGGUUGGAAAUCCUGCUAAGCUCUUAAAAAGGAGCCUAUUAUAGUUCCAUUACAGCUGCCUCCAAUUCUGGAGUUUAGUGUAACAUGAUACCUACAUCAGUGCUUUAUGUAGCAGAACAAUGCAGGAGACCUACUGGCCCAGCCUGACAACUUUUCUCAAGUACUUCCCGUCCCACCACUCCCAUACUAUUGCUACUUCUACCAUCUCUAAUACUACUACUACCACCUUUAAUACUACUACUACCACCUUUAAUACUACUACUACCACCUUUAAUACCACUACUACUACCACCUUUAAUACUACUACUACCACCUUUAAUACUACUACUACCACCUUUAAUACUACUACUACCACUUUUAAUACUACUACUACCACCUUUAAUACUACUACUACUACCACCUUUAAUACUACUACUACUACCACCUUUAAUACUACUACUACCACCUUUAAUACUACUACUACCACCUUUAAUACUACUACUACCACCUUUAAUACUACUACUACCACCUUUAAUACUACUACUACCACCUUUAAUACUACUACUACCACCUUUAAUACUACUACUACCACCUUUAAUACUACUACUACCACCUUUAAUACUACUACUUCCACUUUUAAUACUACUACUACCACCUUUAAUACUACUACUACCACCUUUAAUACUACUACUACCACCUUUAAUACUACUACUACCACCUUUAAUACUACUAUUUCCACUUUUAA